ensembl:lncRNA
CGGUAGAGCGAGAUAGACAAAGACACAGAGAAAGAGAGAGAGAGAGAAGGAGGAGGGACGCUGUCAUCACGUACAGCCGCGGAGAGAAGGGGAAGGGCGGGGGUGAGCCUCAGCCGGUGUCUGUCUGCAGCAGCGGCCAUGCUGCCUGUCUCGGUGCAUCCCGGUCCUCCGCCGGUGUAGCCUCCCUCCUGCAUCCCCGUAUCCCAGGUCAACGGACGGACCCGGAUCGGCUCGGCUCGGUCGGAGCGGUUCAGCCCGCCAUAGCAGACCGGAGCAGACCGGAACCAGAGCACCGAGGAGGGUAAAGAGGAGAAACGCUCCAUAGCAACAAACCGGUUCCACGGCAUUAUCGUGAUGGAGGGAUGGUGAGGACACUAAAAGAGAAAUUGUGAAUGAGACAUAAAUCCCAAAUCAAGCAGGAUUAGAGGGACUGCAAGGCAUUGGCCCAGAUCUGAACCUGGAGUCGAUUGAACGGGUUGUCUGAGGUCUCCUCAUCAAAGUACAGAUUUCAAAGCCAGAUCACUGACGUUACAGCUGAGUUCCUGACACUGCAGCUACAACCCCGAACCUAUUGACCAGUGG